GUAAGGCUGAGUAUUAGGCAAAUCCGGUACUCGUUAAGGCUGAGCUGUGAUGGGGAGAAGACAUUGUGUCUUCGAGUCGUUGAUUUCACACUGCCGAGAAAAGCCUCUAGAUAGAAAAUAGGUGCCCGUACCGCAAACCGACACAGGUAGUCAAGAUGAGAAUUCUAAGGUGAGCGAGCGAACUCUCGUUAAGGAACUCGGCAAAAUGACCCCGUAACUUCGGGAGAAGGGGUGCUCUUUAGGGUUAACGCCCAGAAGAGCCGCAGUGAAUAGGCCCAAGCGACUGUUUAUCAAAAACACAGGUCUCUGCUAAACCGUAAGGUGAUGUAUAGGGGCUGACGCCUGCCCGGUGCUGGAAGGUUAAGAGGAGUGGUUAGCUUCUGCGAAGCUACGAAUCGAAGCCCCAGUAAACGGCGGCCGUAACUAUAACGGUCCUAAGGUAGCGAAAUUCCUUGUCGGGUAAGUUCCGACCCGCACGAAAGGCGUAACGAUUUGGGCACUGUCUCAACGAGAGACUCGGUGAAAUCAUAGUACCUGUGAAGAUGCAGGUUACCCGCGACAGGACGGAAAGACCCCGUGGAGCUUUACUGUAGCC
rnacentral:rRNA from 1 species